GGGCCGGUAGCUCAACCUGGUAGAGCAUUUGCCUUUUAAGCAAAUGGUUGCGGGUUCAAAUCCCGUCCGGCCCG
rnacentral:tRNA from 1 species